rnacentral:rRNA from 1 species
UACGGAGGGGACUAGCGUUGUCCGGAAUCACUGGGCGUAAAGCGCACGUAGGCGGAUUUGUAAGUCAGGGGUGAAAUCCCGGGGCUCAACCUCGGAACUGCCUUUGAUACUGCAAAUCUCGAGUCCGGAAGAGGUGAGUGGAAUUCCUAGUGUAGAGGUGAAAUUCGUAGAUAUUAGGAAGAACACCAGUGGCGAAGGCGGCUCGCUGGUCCGGUACUGACGCUGAGGUGCGAAAGCGUGGGGAGCAAACAGG